CGGCGCGGCUCAACGGCUCGACAUCCGAACAGUAUAUCGAUUUCUAGGUUUUUUAUCCUUCUGGAGCCAUUCCCACCCUUUUUCAGCCAUCUGAGGAGGUAGUUAGGCGCCGGAGUUAGCAUUGUGGGUGACUUCGGCCAAGGCCAAGGAGGUAAGGGCAAGGCUCCCAUGUACGGUUGACGGUGGAUGCUGCGAAGGCCAUAGAAAUCUUGAGGAGAGUUUGUAGUGUCGUAGGCGUCUUGUUGGAUUCUUUUGGGUUCAUAGUUAUUGCAAUUGUUUCCUUUAGUUCUCUGUUGAUUAUUUCUAGGUUAGGUUGUCGUUAUUGACUUCCCCAGGUAUUAACUGCUUAU